rnacentral:piRNA from 1 species
UGAAGAUAAGGGGAGGAGCCCUGC